AUCCGGGAACUCCAAGCUUGUGAGUUUACAACAAGCUGGAUGAGCAUGGCGGUGUAUGAAGCUGAUUUUAGUUGGGGAAGGUUGGUUCACUUUGGUCAAGGUGCUUUGUUUCCCUUUGAUAGGGGAUUGUUGGCUCUAAGCCCAGACAUGGAUGGAUCUAUUCUUGUCUUCAUGCAUUUUCAGGAAGCUAACAUGCAAAAUUUCAUCAAGUUCUUUUGGGAAGAUAUUUGAUGAUGAAACUUAGG